rnacentral:lncRNA from 10 species
GAGGAGGCGGCACACGCCCGCGCCGACGCGGCCCCGCAAGCCAGACCUGCAGGUGUACCUGCCGCGACACCGAGGUUCAGCUCAUCUCGUCUCUUUCCGGAACCUCCACCUCAGCGCUCCCAAAUCUCCGCUGAAUGAUUCUCACCAAGAACUGGGACGACUCAUAAGCCCCCAGUUAAGCAUCGCUGUCAGAGUAUCGGGGAGCCAGCAAGAAGUUUAUCUGCCGGUUUGCCCCACCGUGCUGUAUUUUAGUAAGGUGCUCCGCUACCUAGCAAAGAGAAAGUCUGGCACAGCGAUGAGCGACCAGCACAUAAUUGCGGAAUGAACCCAGUAAAUGGCCUUUCCCCAGCUUCUCUGCUACCUAGAGAUCACACUGGUUAAUAUAUGACGGUCAAUUUUUGUUAA